GACGAACGCUGGCGGCGUGCCUAAUACAUGCAAGUAGAACGCUGAAGGAGGAGCUUGCUCUUCUGGAUGAGUUGCGAACGGGUGAGUAACGCGUAGGUAACCUGCCUGGUAGCGGGGGAUAACUAUUGGAAACGAUAGCUAAUACCGCAUAAGAGUAGAUGUUGCAUGACAUUUACUUAAAAGGUGCAAUUGCAUCACUACCAGAUGGACCUGCGUUGUAUUAGCUAGUUGGUGGGGUAACGGCUUACCAAGGCGACGAUACAUAGCCGACCUGAGAGGGGGAUCGGCCACACUGGGACUGAGACACGGCCCAGACUCCUACGGGAGGCAGCAGUAGGGAAUCUUCAGCAAUGGACGGAAGUCUGACCGAGCAACGCCGCGGGAGGGGAGAAGGGUUUCGGAUCGUAAAGCUCGGUUGUAAGAGAAGAACGAGUGUGAGAGUGGAAAGUUCACACUGUGACGGUAUCUUACCAGAAAGGGACGGCUAACUACGUG
rnacentral:rRNA from 1 species